AUACGGAGGGUGCGAGCGUUAAUCGGAAUUACUGGGCGUAAAGGGUGCGUAGGCGGCUUGAUAAGUCGGAUGUGAAAGCCCCGGGCUUAACCUGGGAAUUGCAUUCGAUACUGUCAGGCUUGAGUAUGUCAGAGGUUGGCGGAAUUCCUGGUGUAGCGGUGAAAUGCGUAGAUAUCAGGAGGAACACCAGUGGCGAAGGCGGCUAACUGGGACAAUACUGACGCUGAGGCACGAAAGCGUGGGGAGCAAACAGGAUUAGAAACCCUUGUAGUCC
rnacentral:rRNA from 1 species